UUUUACGCGUGUGUGGCAGAUCAAUCGUGCACAUAUAUACGAAUGAUCCUACGCCGUGUUUCAAAAUUCACUACCAGCGCUAAAAAUCUACAGUUUAUAUUACGUAUACUUUAUAUUUUCAGCACUGGCAGUAAAUUUUGAUCAUUUAAAAAUCAUUUUAUUCUUGUUGUUUGUUAAAUGUGAAAGACAAAUGAUGCACAUGAGUGUUGCCAGUAUGAAUCAGACCACGGCCUUGAAACGCAGUUUAUUUUUUUUUAGUUGGGCAAUGUAUAGGAGUUGUAACUUGCACAAUGUGAGAGAAUAGUGACUACAGUACAUUUACGGUUAUACGGGAUUCAUUUAGGCCCAGUCUUAUGAUUCAUGGUUAACUUUUCAACCAAGAUUAAAAUAAGUUAAAUCUUGGUUAAAAAUUAAAGAUGAGUUGUAAAACUAGGCCUUAAAUGAGCCUCAGGUAAUCAUCAGUUAACUUAACCGAGAAUAUACACGUCACGUGAACUGUAGCCUAAAGUUAGAAUAGUCUAGAAUAUAAACGUAAUUCCUGAAUAUACUGCUGAAAAAAGUCUUGAAUUUCUUGUGCAGUUCCUCGUUGGAGAGAAAAAGAAAAAAAAUGAAUAGUGCAAGAAGUUCAAUUGAAAAGAAUUAAUAUAGAUUUUUGAUAUAAUGUGACGAUGAUCUUUGACAUUGCCAUGUCUUUAGAGACAGCCAUAAAACACAAUAAUUUACAUCGAUUUAAAAACCCCGACAAAAAGAAAAAUUGGAGCAUAUGUCGAAUAGGAGAGAGACAAAACCAUAAAAGAAGCAAAAAUUAAGACAAUGAAACAUAAAAAAAUGGUUUAACUGACGUGAUCUGUGGAGCGGCGAACACGGACGUGUACGCGACGACGAGAACGUUUACGAGUAGCGCGGCGAGAUGAGUAAAAAGCGGAAUAGGCAACCGGACGCGAAUCCCGACGUCAGUGAGGCCUCCACAGAGUCUUGUGAGGAGACAAGCUCAGCAGGUGCAAAAUGUCCGCACAUAGCAAAGGCCAUUAACCUGAACAAAGUAAAAAAAAAUCUAAAAAAGACUGGUAUAUUAAGCAAAUGUUCCAUGUGCAAAAAACUAGAGAUGGAUCUCAAGACAGCAGAAGAGAUUGUAAAUGAUAUUUGUGAUAUUUCAAAGCCCUUGUGGAUUUGCUUGCAAUGUGGAGAACAAGGCUGUAGUAAAGAGGAAAAGCAGCAUGCCUUUGAGCAUUAUAGGAAGCCUCAUAGCGACUGCCAUUGCAUGGUGACGGAUUCUUACCAUUGGAGUGUUUGGUGCUAUCAGUGUGAAAUUGGAGUUCAUCCUAACAGUAGGAAAAAACUCCUAGAAGCUGUAGAGUUUAUCAAAAAAUAUGUUAAUAUACCACAAAUAUCUCAAUUGAAAAUGCCAGCAAUUCAGUGCCAAAAAGAGAUGAUAAUCGACGUACAGGAGAAAGAACAUAAAAUAUUGAAUAAUCUUCCUAAAGUCGGAGGCUUAGCCAAUCUAGGAAACACGUGUUUUUUCAAUGCUGUACUUCAAUGUCUAGCGCAAACACCUUACUUAGUGAAAGUGCUGGAUGACUUACGUAUACCUGGGCAGAAAUUUGUCUUACCAGGUGGAAAGCACAAACCUGUCGAUGCUGAGGAGGAAGUAGAGUUGCCACCAAUCGAGGGAACCUUAGAGCGAUGGGGCAGUUUCACAUCAAUUCUCUGUGAAACUCUGUCGAAAAUGCAAAAUACGAAUGGCCAUCAAACUUAUACUCCUUUGAAUCUUCUUUGUAAGCUCAGGAAAAAGACUACGCAAUGCGUGGAUGGAGGGCAGCACGAUUCACAUGAGUUUCUUCGACACUUAUUGGAAAUAGUUCGAAAUGAAGAUCUUCGAAGAUACCAGAGCAUAAUUCUAAAGGAGGUCGGCCUGAGUGGAAAAACAAAGCCGGAUUGCGUGGAAAAGGGCCUGAAAUCUCGCGUGAAGUUCUAUGGCAAUCAGGCCAGUACGAGGCUGUUAGGACCAGAAGUAGUAUUUCGCGGCGUGUUAGUAUCUACUCUAGAGUGCCUGGAUUGUCAUCAUUCGUCGCAACGCACCGAGCCAUUUCUAGACUUGAGUCUACCUGUCACUGCGGAUAAGCCACAAUCUCCUCUCUUAAAAAGGAAGAAUAGCGAAUUUGAGGAUGCUUUUGACAUGAUGAACAUUCAACAACAUGAUUAUCAGACGGAGAUUUGGAAAUCGGAGGAUACACCAUGGAAGCAAUUGAAAAAAGAGAAAAAGGCAGCGAGGAAGAACCGAAAAAAUAAAAGGCACGAGAAUUAUAACAAUUCUAAUGCGUUAAUGGAUCUAAAUAAUCCCGCGGAAGAAAACAAUGAUAAUGUUUUGAAAUCAGAAGAGAGUGACGCCGAUGUAGAAGACAAUAUUGAGAUGGACAAUUCUCAUCCGGAGAUUGGAGAGUCUGGUUAUAGCUCUGAGAAAGCAUCCGCCGUCACCAGUCCUGUAUCUCCUGCUGACCAUCAUCACCAUCAUCAUCAUCAUCAUCAUCAUCAUCAUCAUCAUCAUCAUCAUCAUCAUCAUCAUCCAAACAACGAUUUUAAUAGCGCAAUCAGCCCUGAGGACAGUAAUCUGGAUAACAGUAAUUUAGACGCAGCACAAGUUAGACAUCCAGUGAACAUUAAUGCGUUAAUUAGUCCUAGUCCAACCGAUGUGUCGAUGACAGACUUGACUCAAAUCAGGAUGCCGUUCGAGAAGACUGACAGGACCAGCUCCGAGAAUGAAGUGUUAGCUACAGCAUUGAUCAGCUCCAUAAUCGUCAACUCUGACGUCACAAGCCCCGAGAUACCCACCGCAAGUUUAAGUAGCUCUGCUGCUUCUAAGGGGAGUCCCACUAGUCCUGUCAAUAAUGAAAAAAUUGCGGAAAGAUUGGAUGGAGUUGAGACAUGGAUGGCUACUACUUUAUCAAGAUAUAGUAGAAGAAAAUAUAAUAACGGAACUUCGAAUGGAGAUAAUCCCGAAGAGCAAGAUGUAUAUAACGAGCUUGGUGACAUAGUGAUGGGAAUGUCUAGGCUGGGAAUUGCCGGGCAUCAAUCACUUGGCAGGUACACAACCAAGGAGGGUGAAUGUUCCGUGGAAUCAUGCUUGAAUCAAUUCACUGCACUAGAACUAAUGACGGGAAGUAACAAAGUCGUAUGCGAGGCAUGCACAGCUCGUGAGAAGAAGGUAACUCAAAAAGAAAAGAAAGUGAUCCUUCUCAAGAUCUCUAAAGAAACUUGGUACAUUCGAGAAAUAUACUCAGGAAGGUUCGUCAAAGAUGGUAUGCACUUCGAGUACAAAGCAAUACCUCAUCUCUCAAGUACCCCCGAUAUUAAUACUGCAUUUGAAAAGAUUUCAAACGCAGAGAAUUGGUUUUCGAAAGGUUUUCAAGCAUGUGUCAUUCCCGAUAUUAUUGGACUUAGCACCGAUUUGCACAGAUCGCAAAAAAUCUCGACUUUAUGCACUUUAUGGGGUCGUCGAGCACAGUGGAACUGUUCAUGGUGGUCACUAUGUUGCUUAUGUCAAGACGAGAUUGCCGCUAUCAUCAGAUGAUCCUCGAUGGAAGUUUCUUCCAAAGGAUAAAGAUUCUAAAGCGAAUAAUGAAUCGAGUAGUUCAAAUUCAGAUGAGGAAGAAGCAUCAGCGAAAGGAGUAUCCAUUGUGGAACCUCCUCCUGGGAAAUGGUAUUAUGUAUCAGAUUCUCGGGUAUCAGAAGUAGAUGAAAAUACAGUGUUACAAAGUCAAGCGUAUCUCUUAUUCUACGAGAGGAUUCUCUGAUUCAAUAAAGUGAAUGUGAAUGAA